rnacentral:rRNA from 1 species
AGCUCCAAUAGCGUAUAUUAAUGUUGCUGCGGUUAAAAAGCUCGUAGUUGGAUUUCAGUUACGGACAGGCGGUUCGUCUUUGCGAUGCAACUGUUUGCGCCGGACCUAUUGCUGGCUCCUCCAUUAUGCUCUUUAUUGAGUGUCUUGGAAGACCAGUGCGUUUACUUUGAAAAAAUUAGAGUGCUCAAAGCAGGCGUGUGCUUAAAUAGUCGUGCAUGGAAUAAUCAAAUAGGAUCUCGGUACUAUUUUGUUGGUUUUCAGUAUUGAGGUAAUGGUUAAAAGGGACAGCCGGGGGCAUUCGUAUUGCGACGUUAGAGGUGAAAUUCUUAGAUCAUCGCAAGACGAACUACUGCGAAAGCAUUUGCCAAGAAUGUUUUCAUUAAUCAAGAACGAAAGUAGG